CUCUUCUCUUGUCUGCCACCAUGUGAGAUGUGACUUUCACCUUCCAGCAUGAUUGUGAGGCCUCCCCAGCCACAUAGAACUAUGAGGAAAUUGAACCUUGCAGAGAUUAAGUGAUUUGUUCAAAAUCACUCAGGCAAUAAAUGGCAAAGUCAAGAUUUGAACUCACUUUCUCUGAGGCCAAUUCUCCCUACACUCUUCCAAGCUACUUUUAAAAAGUAUCACUAAAAAAGGCAGAUGGGAGCAGUGGCUCAUGCUGCACUUUGUGAGGCUGAGGCAAGAGGAUUGCUUGAGGCCAUGAGUUCAAGACCAGCCUGGCCAACAUAUUGAGAUACUCAUCUCUACAAAAAGCAAAAAAAUUAGCCAGGCGUGGUGGCCUGCACCUGUACUCCUAGCUACUAAGUAGGCUGAGGUGAGAGAGUCACUUGAGCCCAGGAGGUAGAAGCUGCAGUCAGCUGUGAUCAUGCCACUGCAUUCCAGUCUGGGUGACAGAGUGAGACCCUGUCUCAAAAAAAAGGUAGGUGGGGGGGAUUUAAUUUAUUAUGGUAGAAUGAUGAGAGAAGAAGUAGCAAAUGGUUUAAAUAGACAUUUUUAUAGUGAUUUUGGGGGACAGAAAAAGAAUGGAAGCUGGAUACCUAUCAGAAACAUGGUGGCAGGGGAAGUGUGAAGAGAACAAGAGCCCCACCUGUUCAGUGUGAAGAUGCUCCCAAGGUGAUCCAUUAACCUCUGUUUCCGCAUUCCACACCACUGCUUGGCUCACACCCUAGCUACAUAAAUAAUUGCAAGAAUCAAAUAGUUCUUAAAAGAUAUUAUAUAAUGCUCCAUUCUGUUAUAUUGAAAAUUGGUGAUAAAUGGAAGUAUAAAAAUAUUAACAGACUUCCCAGGAUUGUAGAUGGUGUGAAAGUAGGAUGAUAGAUUCUAAUGCAUAAAACUAUGUUACCAUUUGCCCUUAUCAAUAAAC
rnacentral:lncRNA from 10 species